rnacentral:rRNA from 1 species
UUAAGCGACUAAGCGUACACGGUGGAUGCCCUGGCAGUCAGAGGCGAUGAAGGACGUGCUAAUCUGCGAAAAGCGUCGGUAAGGUGAUAUGAACCGUUAUAGCCGGCGAUGUCCGAAUGGGGAAACCCAGUGCAAUUCGUUGCACUAUCGUUAACUGAAUACAUAGGUUAACGAGGCGAACCGGGGGAACUGAAACAUCUAAGUACCCCGAGGAAAAGAAAUCAACCGAGAUUCCCCCAGUAGCGGCGAGCGAACGGGGAGCAGCCCAGAGUCUGAAUCAGCUUGUGUGUUAGUGGAACGGUCUGGAAAGUCCGACGGUACAGGGUGAUAGUCCCGUACACCAAAAUGCACAGGCUGUGAACUCGAAGAGUAGGGCGGGACACGUGGUAUCCUGUCUGAAUAUGGGGGGACCAUCCUCCAAGGCUAAAUACUCCUGACUGACCGAUAGUGAACCAGUACCGUGAGGGAAAGGCGAAAAGAACCCCGGCGAGGGGAGUGAAAAAGAACCUGAAACCGUGUACGUACAAGCAGUGGGAGCACCUUCGGGUGUGACUGCGUACCUUUUGUAUAAUGGGUCAGCGACUUAUAUUCUGUAGCAAGGUUAACCGUAUAGGGGAGCCGCAGGGAAACCGAGUCUUAACUGGGCGUUAAGUUGCAGGGUAUAGACCCGAAACCCGGUGAUCUAGCCAUGGGCAGGUUGAAGGUUGGGUAACACUAACUGGAGGACCGAACCGACUAAUGUUGAAAAAUUAGCGGAUGACUUGUGGCUGGGGGUGAAAGGCCAAUCAAACCGGGAGAUAGCUGGUUCUCCCCGAAAGCUAUUUAGGUAGCGCCUCGUGAACUCAUCUUCGGGGGUAGAGCACUGUUUCGGCUAGGGGGUCAUCCCGACUUACCAACCCGAUGCAAACUACGAAUACCGAAGAAUGUUAUCACGGGAGACACACGGCGGGUGCUAACGUCCGUCGUGAAGAGGGAAACAACCCAGACCGCCAGCUAAGGUCCCAAAGUCAUGGUUAAGUGGGAAACGAUGUGGGAAGGCACAGACAGCCAGGAUGUUGGCUUAGAAGCAGCCAUCAUUUAAAGAAAGCGUAAUAGCUCACUGGUCGAGUCGGCCUGCGCGGAAGAUGUAACGGGGCUAAACCAUGCACCGAAGCUGCGGCAGCGACACUAUGUGUUGUUGGGUAGGGGAGCGUUCUGUAAGCCUGCGAAGGUGACCUGUGAGGGUUGCUGGAGGUAUCAGAAGUGCGAAUGCUGACAUAAGUAACGAUAAAGCGGGUGAAAAGCCCGCUCGCCGGAAGACCAAGGGUUCCUGUCCAACGUUAAUCGGGGCAGGGUGAGUCGACCCCUAAGGCGAGGCCGAAAGGCGUAGUCGAUGGGAAACAGGUUAAUAUUCCUGUACUUGGUGUUACUGCGAAGGGGGGACGGAGAAGGCUAUGUUAGCCGGGCGACGGUUGUCCCGGUUUAAGCAUGUAGGCUGGUUGUCCAGGCAAAUCCGGAUAAUCAAGGCUGAGGUGUGAUGACGAGGCACUACGGUGCUGAAGUAACAAAUGCCCUGCUUCCAGGAAAAGCCUCUAAGCAUCAGGUAACAUUAAAUCGUACCCCAAACCGACACAGGUGGUCAGGUAGAGAAUACCAAGGCGCUUGAGAGAACUCGGGUGAAGGAACUAGGCAAAAUGGUGCCGUAACUUCGGGAGAAGGCACGCUGGUGUGUAGGUGAAGCCCCUGCGGGUGGAGCUGAGACCAGUCGAAGAUACCAGCUGGCUGCAACUGUUUAUUAAAAACACAGCACUGUGCAAACACGAAAGUGGACGUAUACGGUGUGACGCCUGCCCGGUGCCGGAAGGUUAAUUGAUGGGGUUAUCCGUAAGGAGAAGCUCUUGAUCGAAGCCCCGGUAAACGGCGGCCGUAACUAUAACGGUCCUAAGGUAGCGAAAUUCCUUGUCGGGUAAGUUCCGACCUGCACGAAUGGCGUAAUGAUGGCCAGGCUGUCUCCACCCGAGACUCAGUGAAAUUGAACUCGCUGUGAAGAUGCAGUGUACCCGCGGCAAGACGGAAAGACCCCGUGAACCUUUACUAUAGCUUGACACUGAACAUUGAGCCUUGAUGUGUAGGAUAGGUGGGAGGCUUUGAAGCGUGGACGCCAGUCUGCGUGGAGCCAACCUUGAAAUACCACCCUUUAAUGUUUGAUGUUCUAACGUUGGCCCCUUACCGGGGUUGCGGACAGUGUCUGGUGGGUAGUUUGACUGGGGCGGUCUCCUCCCAAAGCGUAACGGAGGAGCACGAAGGUUAGCUAAUCCUGGUCGGACAUCAGGAGGUUAGUGCAAUGGCAUAAGCUAGCUUGACUGCGAGCGUGACGGCGCGAGCAGGUGCGAAAGCAGGUCAUAGUGAUCCGGUGGUUCUGAAUGGAAGGGCCAUCGCUCAACGGAUAAAAGGUACUCCGGGGAUAACAGGCUGAUACCGCCCAAGAGUUCAUAUCGACGGCGGUGUUUGGCACCUCGAUGUCGGCUCAUCACAUCCUGGGGCUGAAGUAGGUCCCAAGGGUAUGGCUGUUCGCCAUUUAAAGUGGUACGCGAGCUGGGUUUAGAACGUCGUGAGACAGUUCGGUCCCUAUCUGCCGUGGGCGCUGGAGAAUUGAGGGGGGCUGCUCCUAGUACGAGAGGACCGGAGUGGACGCAUCACUGGUGUUCGGGUUGUCAUGCCAAUGGCACUGCCCGGUAGCUAAAUGCGGAAGAGAUAAGUGCUGAAAGCAUCUAAGCACGAAACUUGCCCCGAGAUGAGUUCUCCCUGAGACUUUAAGUCUCCUGAAGGAACGUUGAAGACGACGACGUUGAUAGGCCGGGUGUGUAAGCGCAGCGAUGCGUUGAGCUAACCGGUACUAAUGAACCGUGAGGCUUAACCUU